rnacentral:rRNA from 1 species
AUUGAACGCUGGCGGCAUGCCUUACACAUGCAAGUCGAACGGCAGCACGGGGGCAACCCUGGUGGCGAGUGGCGAACGGGUGAGUAAUACAUCGGAACGUGCCCGGUAGUGGGGGAUAGCUCGGCGAAAGCCGGAUUAAUACCGCAUACGACCUACGGGUGAAAGCGGGGGAUCGCAAGACCUCGCGCCAUCGGAGCGGCCGAUGUCAGAUUAGGUUGUUGGUGGGGUAAAGGCCUACCAAGCCGACGAUCUGUAGCUGGUCUGAGAGGACGACCAGCCACACUGGGACUGAGACACGGCCCAGACUCCUACGGGAGGCAGCAGUGGGGAAUUUUGGACAAUGGGCGCAAGCCUGAUCCAGCAAUGCCGCGUGCAGGAAGAAGGCC